rnacentral:rRNA from 1 species
CCUACGGGAGGCAGCAGUAGGGAAUAUUGCUCAAUGGGGGAAACCCUGAAGCAGCAACGCCGCGUGGAGGAUGAAGGUUUUCGGAUUGUAAACUUCUUUUGUUAGAGAAGAUAAUGACGGUAUCUAAGGAAUAAGCACCGGCUAACUCCGUGCCAGCAGCCGCGGUAAUACGGAGGGUGCAAGCGUUACUCGGAAUCACUGGGCGUAAAGAGGGCGUAGGCGGGAUAGCAAGUCAGAUGUGAAAUCCUAUGGCUUAACCAUAGAACUGCAUUUGAAACUGUUAUUCUAGAGUACGGGAGAGGUAGGUGGAAUUCUUGGUGUAGCGGUAAAAUCCGUAGAGAUCAAGAAGAAUACUCAUUGCGAAGGCGGCCUGCUAGAACAUAACUGACGCUGAGGCGCGAAAGCGUGGGGAGCAAACAGGAUUAGAUACCCGUGUAGUC